GACGAACGCUGGCGGCGUGCUUAACACAUGCAAGUCGAACGGAAAGGCCCUGCUUUUGUGGGGUGCUCGAGUGGCGAACGGGUGAGUAACACGUGAGUAACCUGCCCUUGACUUUGGGAUAACUUCAGGAAACUGGGGCUAAUACCGGAUAGGAGCUCCUGCUGCAUGGUGGGGGUUGGAAAGUUUCGGCGGUUGGGGAUGGACUCGCGGCUUAUCAGCUUGUUGGUGGGGUAGUGGCUUACCAAGGCGUUGACGGGUAGCCGGCCUGAGAGGGUGACCGGCCACAUUGGGACUGAGAUACGGCCCAGACUCCUACGGGAGGCAGCAGUGGGGAAUAUUGCACAAUGGGCGGAAGCCUAAUGCAGCAACGCCGCGUGCGGGAUGACGGCCUUCGGGUUGUAAACCGCUUUCGCCUGUGACGAAGCGUGAGUGACGGUAAUGGGUAAAGAAGCACCGGCUAACUACGUG
rnacentral:rRNA from 1 species